UACGGAGGGGGCUAGCGUUGUUCGGAAUUACUGGGCGUAAAGCGCACGUAGGCGGCUUUGUAAGUUAGAGGUGAAAGCCUGGGGCUCAACUCCAGAACUGCCUUUAAGACUGCAUCGCUUGAAUCAUGGAGAGGCGGGUGGAAUUCCGAGUGUAGAGAUGAAAUUCGUAGAUAUUCGGAAGAACACCAGUGGCGAAGGCGGCCCGCUGGACAUGUAUUGACGCUGAGGUGCGAAAGCGUGGGGAGCAAACAGG
rnacentral:rRNA from 1 species